UGGGGUGUGGCUCAGUGGUAGAGCACUUGCCUAGCAUGUGUGAGGCACUGGGUUCAAUCCUCAGCUCUGCAU
rnacentral:tRNA from 1 species